rnacentral:pre_miRNA from 1 species
GUGAACAUGUUCUCCUAUGACACACUUAUACAUGCAUCUACUCUUUUCUUAAAUCAUGUUUACUCGGUCAAAAAGCAAACAUAAUUUAAGAAAAGAGUAGAUGCAUGUAUAAGUGUGUCAUGGGAGCACAUGUUCAC